GGAAUAUUGCACAAUGGGCGAAAGCCUGAUGCAGCAACGCCGCGUGGGGGAUGAAGGCCUUCGGGUUGUAAACCCCUUUCAGGAGGGAAGAAAUUGACGGUACCUCCAAAAGAAGCCCCGGCCAACUACGUGCCAGCAGCCGCGGUAAUACGUAGGGGGCGAGCGUUGUCCGGAAUCAUUGGGCGUAAAGAGCUCGUAGGCGGUUCAACAAGUCGGCUGUGAAAGUCCGAGGCUCAACCUCGGAAUUGCAGUCGAAACUGUUGUGACUCGAGUCCGGUAGAGGAGAAUGGAAUUCCCGGUGUAGCGGUGAAAUGCGCAGAUAUCGGGAGGAACACCAGUAGCGAAGGCGCUUCUCUGGGCCGGCACUGACGCUGAGGAGCGAAAGCGUGGGGAGCAAAC
rnacentral:rRNA from 1 species